GUCCUAGAGGCUCGGGGCUAGAGCGGUGUUGAUGGGGGGGCGGGGCGGGGCGUGACAAGAAGAGAGCUCUACCGGAGACUGGGGUUCGGGCGUGUCGGGUGUCGGUGAGCGUUCAGGCGAGGGCCUGCGCUGGUGCCAAGAGGACAGCGCCGGGCUGAUGGCAGCGUGGGGGCAAUGCUGGGGUCUUUGAGGCACAAGCAAGCGCCAGUGGCAACCGACGGAAGGCUAGAGGCGCCCACGGGGAGAGUGCAGCCCAGGGAGGCAGGUGGGGCUUCCACAACAGUGAUUCUUCUCGGGGGUGGGGGGGGUGGAUUUCACCCGAGGCGGGGGGCUGCGGGCAUGGACCCCAAGGGAGGCCUAUCAGAACAUCUGAGGGGGAGCAGUGCUCUGCUCGAAGAAAAACAAAACCAAAAGCAAAGGAAAAAGAAAACACAAAAACACGCCCGAAAGAUGCUGCUGAUAGGCUGCCUUGGGGGCCAUGCGUCCUCGGGUGAGAAUCACUGGGUGGAAGGGGCAGAGAGUGGAGAGCUGGGCAGAGAGGUGGAGCACGAGCCUGAGCACAUGGGGCCCCUGAGUCGGGGUGGACGGAGGCCUCAGAGUCAGGAACGUCAGCCGUGGGUGUGCGGGUCGAGGACCCAGGACGAGGCAGACAGCGAGCAAAUGGAUGUAGCCGACUAGGCCCCUGGAAGGAUGGGGGGGGUGGUUGGGAUUCACUGGCGGUGGGUAGGGAGCGCAGGGCCAAGGUGACGGUGCCGGAAGCGAGGACGCAUGCGACAGGAGGGUGAGAGAGAGAGACGGGAGUGCUGGCCGAAAGGAAGCUGGCUUGUGGGGAUGUGAGCAGAGCGCACCGGGUGGGAGGUCCACAGGAAAGGAAGGGGCAGGCGGUAGGGGAGACAGCAGACAGCAACUAAGGGGGACAUGUGGGAGAGCGAAGCCUGCUAGGGAGGGAGGAAGGAAGGAGGCAAGGACGGACGGACGACGGCAGAACCCAGGGCACUGUGCAGCUGGAGACUGAGCGCAGUGGUGUGAGGUUGGGGUUCACAGGCGUGAGGGCAGAGGGAGGGCAGAAAGAAGGCAGGAGCGCUGCGGAGAAAGGAAAACGGAGAGUCACGGGAAGGGGCUCCCCGAGAGGUGUGCCAGAAGAGUGUGCAACCAGGGGUCUGAAGGGAAAGGUGAAAGGUUACAGGCGGGGCCGUUCGCGCGGGUCCAGGAGGACAGCCCAGCCUGGGUCCGCAGAGACGUGCGCACGGCUUGGUGGGUGGAGCGUGCUCAUUCAGUACGUUGUGUGCGAGGCGAAGACGACCGGCCGAAGUGGGUUGAGCCGGGGGCGAGGGACUAAGCAUGGAGCACACAGCAGCGCCAAGUCCUGAGGCCCGCUGGAAGAGUCACAGAGGGUAGCUGAAAGAACGUUCGCGGGCUCCGGUAGGACAGUCCCGUCCCGUUGCUGUGUAGGCAGGUGAGGAGCAGAGAGGAGAGGCAAGGAAAUGGGGCCCUGGAGGCAGGAGGUGAGGGGAGCAGCGUGCAAGACGCGGGAGAGUAGGGUCGAGGAGAGGCGGUCCAGCCGGCCGGAAGCGGGAGAGGGGCAGGCCGUGGCGCCUGACCGCUGGGGACAGGAGAGGCUUGCACAGAGGACCAGGGACGUGCCGGGCCACGAGGGCCGGCCAUGACCACGAAGGAGGGAGUGGAGGUGCAGAAUGUGGUUUGUGUAGAAUCUCGGUACUUUGUUACCCCUGAGUGGACUAAGGUUUCAGGAAUUCAUCCAGGAGCAAAAGCUCAGCAUUGUUAUGGCCAUUGAGGAAGCCAUGUGAGGUGGGAAGAGAACCCAGCAGUUGGGGUGGAGAGGUAGUGGUCCAUUUGAAAUCUUACGGUCAAGUCAUUGAAGGGCAUGGUGAGAUGGUGAAUGUCAGACUGUAGGUUGUGUAUGCAACCACUGUCUCCCACUGAUAAAAGUAAAGGGUUUAGAGGUGAAUUGGUACAGCAGGUGUUUUCAGAACAGUAGGUAGGGACAAAAAUGCUCGGAAUGAGGAGAGCAUGACGUCUCGUCACAAAGGGAGUAGAUGUCAAGGAAUAGACAGGGAAUUUGUCGCAUCACAGGCAGGUAGUACAGGAAGUAGGAUGGGAUAUUGAAGAUGACGCUGAGAGUCUCUCAAAGACAACAGUUGGAGAAAUGCAGAGCAUGGGCUAAGCAGGAUUCAUUCAGCACCCAGUGCGGAAAGAGAGAGAAAGUGCAAGUCAGCCAUGAGAAGUUGGUCCAUGUGAUGUGAGUUGGGUUACGUUAGUAGAAGGGAAAAGAAUGCGCAGCAUGGAAGGGGGGGAGAGAACUUUAAGAACAUGCAAGGGACUCAGGGUUGGUAAAGGGGGCACCAUGGAAGAGGGGAAAGCAGCCUAAAAAGCUCCCAGUGUGGGGAUGUCAGCAGCUGUCAGAGGACAAGAGGAUCGGCAUGUGCAGUGUAGAGGCCAGAUGGUAGGAGCAGAGCAUAGCGGAACUGAGACCCCAUAGUCCAGGCAGGUGAAUACCUGGGGCUCUCAGAACAAGUGUGGAAAGGCACCACAAUGACUGUGGUGAUAAAGAGGAAAUGGGACAUCAUGGCACGUUAAGGCGUAGCCUGUACAGAAACCACUGGCAGGUAACCUUAGGGAAUUCAGAAUGUGGAUGGAGUCCAGUGUGUGGGUGGCAGAUACAGUUAGAAAUGGCAGAGGAGUGAAUCAAGGUGGGAAGUGACAUUUUGCAGUGAUCACCAAAUCCAUGCUUCUGCUAUUGCAAGUGGCUGGAAAGGGUGGAGGUCUAGCAAGCAGGGGACAGAGACUCCAGACAGAGAAGUAAGGUAGGAGGGGUGACCUUCAAACCAAUGCGGUGUCAUACAUCUAGUCCAAGAAGAUAAUUUGGGCAGCAAAGUGGCACAGAGGGAGAGAGCAAGGUGUGGGAUGGUGGGGCUUCGGGGGUGGGGCUGUUGUUUAGGAGGCUUGAUCCAUGGAAAACAGGGCAAGGCAGAAUGAAAUGAACUCGAGAGGAAAGAUCGAGGGAAGGAUUGUCAAAAUUGGACCUCGAAGCAGCUGGAAGGGAGAGUCCCUCCUAGAGAGACAAGGUAAAGAGAACUAUGCAGGGGAGGUUGGAGGGUGGAUUGUGUGGUGGAGGGAGACAAGCUGGACACCAACAGGGGGAGUGAGGUGAAGAGGAAGUCGGCAGAGUCUGCAUCCAGACAGAUAUCAGAGAUGCCAACAAGAUGGAAGUUAAGAACAUCAGGGGCCAGCCAAGGGGAGCAGAGGCAUAGAGAAGGAGGAGCAGAGAAGGGGUGGCUAGCAGUGCGAGGGGAGCAGUGGCUGCUCUUGCAGCCUUUGAAUGUUGUGGCAAGAGUAGAACUUUUUUGGCCAGGCUCUUUACUACGGAUCCGGCGGGGAUGGGGUGGG
rnacentral:lncRNA from 1 species